UUACGACCAUAUCACAUUGAAACACCGGUACUCAUACGAUCACCGAAGUUAAGCAACGUCGAACCGAGUCAAUACCUAGAUAGAUGACCGUUUGAGAAUACCAUUUGCUGUAAU